rnacentral:rRNA from 1 species
UACGGGGGGGGCAAGCGUUGUUCGGAAUUACUGGGCGUAAAGGGCCAGUAGGCGGCCAACUAAGUCGGAUGUGAAAUCCCCAGGCUCAACCUGGGAACUGCAUCCGAUACUGGAUGGCUUGAAUUCGGGAGAGGGAUGCGGAAUUCCAGGUGUAGCGGUGAAAUGCGUAGAUAUCUGGAGGAAUACCGGUGGCGAAGGCGGCAUCCUGGACCGACAUUGACGCUGAACGGCGAAAGCUAGGGGAGCAAACGGG